GACGAACGCUGGCGGCGUGCUUAACACAUGCAAGUCGAACGGAAAGGCCCUGCUUUUGUGGGGUGCUCGAGUGGCGAACGGGUGAGUAACACGUGAGUAACCUGCCCUUGACUUUGGGAUAACUUCAGGAAACUGGGGCUAAUACCGGAUAGGAGCUCCUGCUGCAUGGUGGGGGUUGGAAAGUUUCGGCGGUUGGGGAUGGACUCGCGGCUUAUCAGCUUGUUUGUGGGGUAGUGGCUUACCAAGGCUUUGACGGGUAGCCGGCCUGAGAGGGUGACCGGCCACAUUGGGACUGAGAUACGGCACAGAAGCCUACGGGAGGCAGCAGUGGGGAAUAUUGAACAAUGGGCGGAAGCCUGAUGCAGCAACGCCGCGUGCGGGAUGACGGCCUUCGGGUUGUAAACCGCUUUCGCCUGUGACGAAGCGUGAGUGACGGUAAUGGGUAAAGAAGCACCGGCUAACUACGUG
rnacentral:rRNA from 1 species